GAUGAACGCUAGCGGCAGGCCUAACACAUGUAAGUCGAGGGGCAGCACAGAAACAGCAAUGUUUUGGUGGCGACCGGCGGACGGGUGCGUAACGCGUAUGCAACCUACCUUUAACAGGGGGAUAACGGAGAGAAAUUUCCACUAAUACCCCAUAACAUCGAUCAAGGCAUCUUGAUUGGUUGAAAACUCCGGUGGUUAAAGAUGGGCAUGCGUUGUAUUAGGUAGUUGGUGAGGUAAUGGCUCACCAAGCCUACGAUACAUAGGGGGACUGAGAGGUUAGCCCCCCACACUGGAACUGAGACACGGACCAGACUCCUACGGGAGGCAGCAGUGAGGAAUAUUGGUCAAUGGGGGCAACCCUGAACCAGCCAUGCCGCGUGCAGGAAGACGGCUCUAUGAGUUGUAAACUGCUUUUAAACAGGGAUAAAGUACAGUAUGUAUACUGUGUUGAAGGUACUGUAAGAAUAAGGAUCGGCUAACUCCGUGCCAGCAGCCGCCGUAA
rnacentral:rRNA from 1 species